CCAAGAACCCUCUCUUGAAAUCUGGAUUGGCACCCCUUUCUGGUAACACCUUCUUGAUGAACCAUGAAGAGACUACGCUGAGGAGACCCCCAACCCAAAGGAAAGGAAAUAGACUGCAGCACUAAUUGACUGACUGGGACACAAUUGGAGAAACUCGUUAUUUUACCAAGGCCUUGACUAGAAUGGUGUGCUUUCCUUUAAAGAAUCAAAUUUAACUUGUAGAACCAAUAAAAAGCCCUUGGGAAAACUGGCCUUAUACAUUGUCUACACAGUCCCUGUACAGGGUUCCUGACCUACAUGAUUUCUGGCUGCUGCUCAGGAGAAACAGGAGAGAUGCAUAAUGUAAAAAUAUGGAUCAAUAUUCUAAUUCUGAGCAUGUUGGAAUCAGCUAGCAACCCAUAUCAGCUUGGUUUCAACAAUUGCCCAGUUCAUGAUAUCACCUUUUGUUGGAACUCAAGAGUUAUGAGUGGCCCUUAACAUACCGAUGUUUUCUAACUGAGCUGCUCUCUACCCUGAAUACAAGAGACCUUAAUAGUUAGGUAGGACUAUCAUUGCCCCUGUUCACCAUGAAUAAGUUACAGAAGAUGAAUCUUCAUCCCUCUGCAACCCUUAGUAUUAAGGAUUCCCUUGUAAAAGGGAAGGGGGGAAAUAUGUCAGAGACAUUUGAACCAGAGCAACUUCAUCUUGAGUAGGGGCUGUGUAAAAUAAGGCUGAGAGACCUACUGGGCUGCAUUCCCAGGAGGUUAAGACGUUCUAACUCACAGAAUGAGAUAGGAGGUUGGCCCAAGAUACAGGUCAUAAAGACCUUGCUGAUAAAGCAGGUUGCGAUAAAGAAGCCAGCCAAAACCCACCAAAACCAAGAUGGCAAUGAGAGUGACCUCUGGUCAUCCUCACUGCUCAUUAUACAUAUUAUAAUGCAUUGACAUGCUAAAAGACACUCCCACCCACGCCAUGACAAUUUCCAAAUGUCAUGGCAAUGUCAGGAAGUUACCCCAUAUGGUCUAAAAAGGGGAGGAAACCUCAAUUCUGGGUAUUGCCUACCUCUUUCUCAGAAAACUCAUGAAGAAUACACCUCUUGUUUAGCAAAUAAUCAAUAAAUAACUGUAAGUAUCCUUAGUCUAAUAUCCCAAGCUUCUGCUCUGUCUAUGAAGUAGACAUUCUUUUAUUCCUUUACUUUCUUAAUAAACUUGCUUUCACUUAAAAAAAGUUCAUCAUAUUCCACAGGGUAAAUGCAUUAGGAUAGCAUUCAAGGUUCUCCAUAACUGUCUACAACCUGCUUUUUCUAUCAUAUUUAUUAGUUCUC
rnacentral:lncRNA from 10 species